rnacentral:lncRNA from 1 species
AAUAUUGAUAUAUGGCAUCUUAGCAGAUACCAGACGGGGAGUAUUCCGCUCUUAAUUUUACUGCAAUAUAGGCGCUCUUUGUAGUGAGCUAAUUUUAUUUUGAAAUUCGUUUUAUUUUGAAAACCAGUUUUGGGAAGUGACAGGAAGUCAGCCAUGUUUGUUUUUGUUCUUAGCAGUUCACAUGUGGGGAAAUUUGAUCCAGCGACAUCUGCCUUUUCUUUGUGCCGUCGACACCACCGUCUUUUUACUCCAUGAGGAAAUACUAAUUAAAAGGAGUUGGACGCUACAUCCUGACUUCGCGCGUGAUUUCAAGUGGAGUUAGGCUACUGCUGAAUUGUGUAGCAUAUACACACAAGGAGAGCAGGAUAACAUGAGACACAUAACCGAAGAACUAAUCCCUAAACACGAAUAAACAGAAAC